UGAAAAGGAAGGUAGUCUAAAUUCGCGACGUCCUGUCGCAGCGACUACUUACCUGUAUCCUUGCAGG
rnacentral:sRNA from 1 species